rnacentral:tRNA from 1 species
GGCGGAUGUAGCCAAGUGGAUCAAGGCAGUGGNUUUUGUAAAUCC